UUCCUUCUUCUAUUGGUUUCCUCUCAUCUAACCUAAACGAAAACAUGAGACACUUAGCCAUUCUUUUCUACCUUCUAAUCACAUCAGCUCCAAAUGUUUUAGCUCAGGGACAAGGAGAUAUACCGGUUGUGAAUCCGACCAAUCCCGGUGGCAGCACCACGACCCCGACCAUAACCCAACCAUCACCACCUGCACCGACACAGCCAGGACCAGUCACAACCCCGGCCCCACCUGGUGGUGGCGGUGACUUUGGUUCUGGAGGUGGUGGAGAUUUUGGUGGAGGAGGAGGAGAUUUUGGCGGUGGAGCUGGUGGUGGUGGUGGCGGUGGAGUCGUUGGUGGAGGUGGCGGUGGUGGUGGUGGAGCCGGAGGUGGAGGUGGAGGUGGAGGUGGAGGUGUAGGUGUAGGUGGUGGUGGCCAGUGGUGUAUAGCGAGCCCAAAUGCUUCACCGACAGCGUUACAGGUGGCGUUGGACUAUGCAUGCGGGUAUGGAGGAGCUGACUGUGGAUCGAUCCAACCAGGGGCAAGCUGUUACGAGCCAAACAACAUCCGUGAUCACGCUUCUUACGCUUUCAACGAUUAUUACCAGAAGCAUCCGGGACCUGAAAGCUGCGUUUUCGGAGGGACAGCUCAACUUACCAGCACGGACCCAAGUAAAGGGAACUGCCACUUUCCGGCAUCAUCAGGAGCAACCAGCACUAGUCCACCAAAUCCGCCAAAUCCUCCAAGCCCACCGGCUUAUACUUCGCCAACUAACACGAUCCCUACCACGACCCCGACAACAACUCCAACAACAGGCUUCCCUGGGACUGGACCAGUGUAUGGCGUGGCAGAGCCAACCGGACUUCCAAGUUCAUCGCCUGUUGUGUCAGGUGGCUUACUCCCGAUAUUCGCAGCAGCAGGGAUACUCAUGAAACUACUCAGGGAACACUAUCUUUAAGCAAAUGGGAAUCUAAGGGACCUAAUCAUUUCUCCAAAUGAUGAGGCACUUCUUCCACUUGCCUGCAAGAUAUUCGGAAUGGAAUUCAAAGCAAGAAACCUUAAUUUAUUUCAAGACCUUAGCCUAGCCAUCUGUUCUGUUGCUAUUAUUCAUCUUGGAGGCAUAUUAGUUUACCAGGAGAUGUAGCAGAAACAAAGGGCUUAGAUAAAUUAAAUUCUUCUAGACUCAUUAAGCAUAGUGUAUCCUUCCACAAUUUUAGAGAAUAAAAAGCCUAGGGAAUGCUUGAUGAAUAUUGUGAAUAACAUUAGACAUGGUUAAUCCUGCAAUAGCUCAUACGAAAGAUGUACAACAAAGCAAAUGAAAAUCCCUUUUUAAACUUUCAAGAUGCUACAUACCUGUCGAAAAUCUGCAGUAAAUGGAGUGGUGGAUUGUCUUCAUCCAAAACCGGUUCCGUAUGCAAUCAUCUGUCGGUAACAUAUCGACCUGCUUCAAGAAGAUAGUGCAAAAUGCCAACUUUUCUUAAGGACAGGAGAAACACAGCAUGCAUACUUUUGUGAUUACAAGAACACACACACACACAUAUAUACAGCAUAUUGCUUCUUGUCUUGUCGCGCACAUUAUUAUAGUGAUUUACAUAUAACCUCCUUAUUGUUCAAGAGCAUAUUCACAUCAAGAAAAGGAAUGA